rnacentral:tRNA from 1 species
CAGAGUGCAGCUAAAUAGCCCAGCGUCUCAUUUACACCGCGAAGAAAUCCGUGCAAAUCGGGUCACUCUGA